UAAUCAGCAGCAGCUGGUGCUUCUGCAGCAGUAGAGUGUAAAAAGCCCAUGUGAUCCCCUAAAAAGAGCCGACCAUCCACACAAGAGGGGGAGGAGGAUGUCAAUUCUUUCUCCUAUUAAAAUCUGGCUUCAGAUAAUUUUGGUACAGGCUUAACCCAUUACUAUUUUCCUCUAAAAGGAAGGCACAAGAAGGCUGGCUACUCCCUGCAAGCAUGGACAUCUCAGAUCAGCUUUACAAAAGAGAUUAAUUCAGUCAGUCUUCAUCAACAAAUCCAUCAAUCAGUCAUGAACUUAACCAGCCAAAGAAAUCAAUUAAGGCAUGGAAGAAGUUAUUAAGACUAACCCAUGAAACUAUAAAGGCGCAUGUCUGUGUACAUGUUUGCAAAAAGAGCAAAGUAAGCAGAACAAUACUCAGUAAUCCCAAUGAUUUGUUUUGUGGAUAUAAGUCCUGACUGCUCAGUCCUUUCUUCUGCUCCUCAGAAACUUCAGGACUGAAGCAGAGUUUGAACAUGGAAAUAUUUGUGAUGUCUAACACUCAGACCCUUCCCCUCUUUCCCAAGAUAAAUAAACCAAUGAAAUAAAAGUAAGAAAUAUCUUA